rnacentral:misc_RNA from 1 species
GAUUGUAACUAGGCAUGAAAUCAAAGGAAAGGUAGAGAAACUGCUCUCCGACACAGAUAUCAAGGCCAACUCACUGAAACUCAAGGAGAUGGCUGGAAACAGCAUCAGUGAAGGUGGAUCUUCUUCCAAGAAUUUCUUAAGCUUUAUUGAACAGAUAAAGCAGUAGCAUGUUUCUACAUGUAUAUAUAAUUAUGACUUCAAUGCUCCACUUAGCAAGAGAAACAAAAAUUUAAUU